rnacentral:lncRNA from 1 species
GGCCAAGAAGGCAGAAGCCUUCCAGCUGUACCAAGAGGCUGCUCAGCUGGACAUGCUGCUAGAGAAGCUGCCCCAGGUGAAUCACAAGCCUUUGAGAACAGCCUGAGCCUUCAGCCCUCACAGAUGCCCAGCCUCAUAGCUGAAGUUGCCUGAAUGAUCCUCCUGUUGCAUGUAACCCACUGGCCUCCCUGAGCAUGUCCAUUGACAGUGAGGUCCCACCCCUCAUCUCUCCUUGCCAAAUAGUUUGUGCCUUGUCUUGAAGGGGGUUGCUCCCCUUGCCAACCUCACACUGCUAUGAUUGCCAACUCCAGCGGUCCCAUGUCAGCCUUCUGAUGAUCCCACUCCACCCCACCUCAACUUAUUUAACUUCCUAAUUAAAUCAGACUGUUUGAGCCUGUUGUCUAGAAUAUUUUCCUGACCAAGACUGAGGGAUGGGCUGGAGGUUUUCAACUUUGCUACCCAAAUAAAUUGCUGUAAGUAAGUACU